CAACAUUACUAAUAUGAAAAUAUAUGGCUUUAAUUAAGAAAUGUUUUUUUGUCAAACAAGUUUGUUCUUCCAUGAGGUAAAAUUUAAUACCUAGUAUUAUUUAAUCAACUGGCAAUUCCUUUUGAAAAAUAUCCUUUUAAUGAGUAAUUUCUUAAAUCUAUUUGAAGGCAUCUUCACACCAGAUCAAAGGUAAUAUAAUAAAAGCUAUUCACAUUCUCAUCAGAAUGGUACUUUUUAAUAUAGUAACUAUGGGAUCUCAGAAGAUGUACAGCAGAGCCUCCAUAUGGCACUGAAAAAAGACAAGAAACUAGCUAGUUGGCACUCGCAUAGUUACGGAUCAAAUAUUGGUGCCCCCGCCAUUAAUAUGCUGAAACCUCAUCCUCGUUGCAAUGGUAUUUGGAGGUGGGGUCGUUGGGCGUUGGGAGAUAAUUAGGUCAUGAAGGUAGGGUCAGGCCCUCGUGAUAGUAUUUGUGUCCUUAUAAGCAGAGACAUGAGAGAUGAUUUCUCUCUCCCCCAUUUGAGGGUAGGGCAAGAAGGUAGCCAUCUGCAAAUAAGGAAGGGAGUCCUCAUCAAGAACUGGACUAUGCUGGCACCCAGAUAUCAAAUUCCAGCCACCAGAACUGGGUGACAGAAAUACAGUGUUGUUUACGUCACCCAGUUUAUGGUAUUUUUGUUGUAGCAGUCCAAAUGAAGGCCUGCCUUUUGAUAGUUUAAAAAACAACAACGUCUUCUUGGACAUCAGUAUGCUAAAUCUCUAAGAGCCACUAAGUCAUGUUUUCAUCAGCUCUCCCCGAGAUAAUAUAUUCUGGCCUUAUGAAGAACAAAAGAGUAGAAAAGAAAACAAAUUUUAAGAAAUUUGUUGCAAAGAGCAGAAAAGCUCUUUGCAUCUUAGUUGUCUUCCCAGUAAAUAACAAGCCAAAUUCUUUUAAGAACAAGGAGUUGAAGGUUUACCUUUCUUUCUUAAUCAUUGCCAAAUGCAUGACAUUUCUCACGCAUUCUUUUCACAGAAGAUAUUCUCUUGCCAGAUAAUUCUGCAAGACAUGCCAGAAGAGAAACAUCUGCUUUCCACAUUUAGGACCUCCUCAGCUGGUUUUGCAACAGAAACCUCAACCUAAGGUCAAAUCAUUGUAAUAACACAGUCUCCAACACAGUUGAUGUGGUUGCAAUGUGAAAUGAAUUGGGAGAAAACAGAAGUGAACCAGUGUGGCGCCAAAUAAAAUGUCAAAUUUCCACAAGCAAAAUCCUACUAAAAAGAAACUAGGAACAAUUUGAGUAGCUGAGAAUAAUCCACAAACAUUCUGCUUUGCUCUUCUACAACUGACAAGGCCUAUGGAAAGAAUGAUUUCUGCCCUGCAUGACAACAAAGAAAGCCAUUUCCAAUUCAGUCUGUAAGAGAAAAGGAAACAAACAACUUCAGCAAAUAUUUACCGGAUACUACAUUAGUUUGUGAGGGCUGCCAAACAGAAUACCACAGACCAGAUGGCUUAAACAACAGAAAAUUAUUUUCUCACAGUUCCGGAGGCUGGAAGUCUGAGAUCUAGGUUUUGGCAGGGAUGGUUUCUUCUGAGAUCUCUCUCUCUUUGGCUUGCAGAUGGCAGUCUUCUUUCUGUUUUCCCAUGGUCUUCCUUCUGUAAACACAAAUCUGAAAAGAAAUGAAGAACCAUCUUUGCCUUAGGAUGUGGCAAAUGGAGCUUUGGAACUGAUUCAUAUUCAAAAGAAGGAUCUCCUGCCCUAGCAACACAGCAAGACCUCAUUUCUACAAAAUAGAAAAAAAAUAGCCAGGUGUGGUGGUGAGUGCCUGUAGUCCCAGCUACUCGGGAGGCUGAGAUGGGAGGAUCGCUUGAGCCUACGAGAUCAAGGCUGCGGUGACCCAUGAUUAUGCCAUUACACUCCAGCCUGGGCAACAGUGUGAGACCUUGUCUCAAAAAAAGAGAAGGUGCUGUCUGCCUGUUGUGAAAGAGACCUUCCAUAGAUAGUUUAUCCAAUGAACACUGGUGCUCAUGCACAUGUGUGUGUAGUGGCGUCUCCAGGUUGGUUAACAGGGUCUCUGCCUCACGACCAGUCCAUUACUUAGUGAUGUGGUCACAUUUCUGUUGGUUCUUUCAGACACAGCCCCAGGGCCUCAUUCUGCCAGCCAAAGUCAGGCUCUGGUUUGCCGCCUCCAACAGUCCCACUCUGUGAGAUCCUGGUUAAUUUGGUUUGUACUUGGCAAAAAAAAAAAAAAAAAAAAAAAAAAAAAAACCUACAAAAAAGUGCCAAGAAUGUCUCCUUUAUUUAGGAAAUACAAUAUACUUUCUUAGUGAAAAUGAGUUCUCUUCUAGUUUGCUAUUCAGAAGGGACAUAAUGGUUUUGCAUACUCAUAGCUUCUCUUUCUAGUCUUUCUGGAAAUCUAAGAUGCUAAAUGUUCUUGGCCCUCAACUGAGUCCUUUCUAUCUUUAGGCACCAUUCAAUGUCCAUAGCUUUUUCAUCGGACAACUCUCAUUUUACAUCCUCUUAGUGUAUUACUAUAAUUUUUAAUUCUAUACAAAGGAUCUCACUCAUUUCUCAACUAUCCAUUGUCCCAACAAUUAUUUUUACUUGAAUAAAGAAUAUAACAUUUUCCUUUGAUCAAGCAUAUCAGAAUAUCAUGGUGUGUUUAAGUGUUAAGACACUGAGGACAGCACCACUCAGGAAAAAGUGAGGUGUCUAUGGAGCCAGCCUUGCAGAGUUAAUCUGCUCUUAACUAGUGGUGGCCAUAGACUAAAGUCUCCAUGCACAAGGCAAGCCAAGCUCUACUUCUGAAGUCUGAUACCUGAGCUCUCCAUAGCUAGAAGAUUCCAUGAAACAGAAACAAGCCACUGACUUGCCCAUAGUAGGUGGUUCUGUAUAAAUGAGAACAGGAACAGAAUUCAGGUGACAUGAUACCAGAAUUGAGAACUAGACAAGCAGGGAGGGUUGAUGCAUUAGUCCAUUCUCAUGCUACUAUAAAGAACUGACCAAGGCUGAGCAAUUUCUAAAGGAAAGAGGUUUAAUUGACUCACAGUUCUGCAUUGCUGGGGAGGCCUCAAGAAACUUAAAAUCAUUGCGGAAAGGGAAGCAAAACACGUCCUUCUUCACAUAAUGGCAGGAAGAAGUGCUGAGCAAAAGGGAAAAAGCCCCCUAUGAAACCAUCAGAUAUCCUGAGAACUCACUCACUAUCAUGAGAACAGCAUGGAGGUAACCACCCCAAUGAUUCAAUUACCUCCCACCAGGUCCCUCCUACUAUGAUUUAAGAUGAGAUUUGGGUGGGGACACAGCCAAACCAUAUCAGAUGUUAACCCAUCCAAGCACAGAGUACAGGAAAUACCACUCUGGAAUAUGGAAAUCAUUGAACUAAGCAGUGGAAGCUAGUACAUGGAAACAUGAGUUGUUUAGGCAACUCAGAUACAAUGUCAUGAGGAAAGCAAAGGCAGGGAGAGCUGUGGCUGGCACAGAAGACAUUGGGAAGACAGAAGGUUUCAUAGGAUUAGUUUGGCCCUGUUGAAAAGUUGUGGAGAUCCAGGGAGAGAUGGCUGGAGAAGGAAACUUAAACGUUGAAAAGAAAAAAGAAGAAAGCUAGACUAGAGUAAUGUAAGGCCCUAAAGGAUGAAAAGGGAGACUAAGAAGUGAUCACAAGUUUCUCGAUCAAGGAAAGGGCUGUCAGCCCAGGAUUUCCCAAUGUGCCUGGGAGCAAUGUCUUCCAAGAUAAAGAUUUCACCUGCAGAACUAGUCUUCAGUGUCCCAAAGGACCUAUUCUCAAAUAACUCAACAAUAUCACUUCCAUUCUGCCCUCUGUGUAUCUGCAGCUAAGAUUUCUCCACACUGUUUCCAUCCUCAGGUUUUUCCUACCAAUUCAACUUGCUAACAGAGUUAGCAAGUUGACUAAGAAUUAUCAGUUAUUUCUUAUGUCUCAUUUCUUCUUCCUAUCACCCCUGUUCAUUUUCACAGUAACAGGUUUUGUACUUUUAUCUGAGUCUUUUUUUAAAAAAAAAAUCCUCUCUCAAGCUUCUCUACUUUUAGUCUUCUAAAUCAAAUUAAUGAAUUGUCUGCUAUCCCAGGCCCUCUGACACCUGAUCCCUGAAUAGAAGUGUUGUUCUUGUAUCUUACACAAUGAUUCACUGCAGAGAUAUCUCUCUGAGCCUGGGAUUUCAUGACACUGAAAACACAGAACAAGCUUUAUCAAUGGCAGCCAUAUUUCAUCUACACAUGGAAGCUGUUCACCUACCUCAGGGGAAGGUUUCAGAAACAGAUGGUCUGCUUUGGAGACUAUAUACACUCAG
rnacentral:lncRNA from 10 species